rnacentral:misc_RNA from 1 species
AUCACAAACAAUCAGCGAUGAUCUCCUCCUCCAUUAACAGCUACAUUAGCCAAAGCCUUUUUAUGGCGCCUACCCUUUUUUGGACCCCAACCCUCCAAUUUAGCGACGGGACAUCCACACCUUGCUCGGAAAAGCAAAACAGCUCUCCCAUUAGGCGGAGCCNAUUCAGCUCGAAGACAUUCAUAAUCAGGAUUCCCUUCACUCCCUCCUUUCCAUGGCAACUU